CCCUUAGAUGUUCUGGGCUGCACGCGUGCUACACUGAUUACUUCAACAAGUGUUUUAACUGGAGAGUUCGCGUAAUCCUGAAAUGUUAUCGUGAUGGGAGUAGAGUAUUGUAUUUGUUAAUCUUUAACGAGGAAUUCCUAGUAAGUGUAGGUUUAUAAGUUGUUCUGAUUACGUCCCUGCCCUUUGUACACACCGCCCGUCGCUCCUACCGAUUGAUUGAUCCGGUGAAUUACAUAGAAUUUUGCGUUUUACAUGACGGAAGAGGAAGUGUUUUAAACCUUAUCAUUUAGAGGAAGGAGAAGUCGUAACA
rnacentral:rRNA from 1 species